rnacentral:ribozyme from 1 species
AGAAGAAGAAGAAGAAGAAGACGUCACUCCCUUGUGUAUUUGUCUUCGUUGCCAACUCGCGGCGUUUCAAUUUUUUUUUUAAUUUUCCGCCCUUUGUUUUUGGUUUUCGUUUUGCUGCUGCAGCAAAGUGAAGGUGUUGGACAAGAAGAAG